UCUGGGCGCCGCCGCCCAUCCACCCGUUCAUCCACGUCGGUUGCUUCGCCUCCGCCGCCCCUCAGCCACUCAGCCUCCCGGUCGCUGCAACCGCUCGUCUUCCCCGUCGAUAUGCAGACAAGCCUCCCCUAUCGCGGCAACUGCUCGGCCACAAGCUCGGCACAUGAAAGCACCUCUUCACACUUCACAUUCCACAAAAUGAACCGCGCCUGCCAAGCUGCCCAAAUCGGCACAGGACCGAGAACAGAGCACGGCCGUCGCUCUUGCCUUUGACACACACAUUGCCUUUCAAAAUCUGUAUAUGAACAUACAUUGUCUUUCGUAAUAAAUUCAGCAAAAGAGGCUACAUGACAUGAGAAUUUGGUAAAUUCCGAUUUGAAACAACAAAAAAUCACCUUCAGUCAGUAACAAAUAUCAGUUGCAUAUCAGUUGUUCAGUUCGGGUUGCAUAACAUAGCAACGCACAAACAGCAGCCUACUGGUACGAGGAUCUGGUGAGCCCUCCUCUCUCCUCCUUGUCGUGCCAUGGUUGAGCUCCUGAAAAAUGAAUGUGUAACUUUUACUCAUUGGAUGUGCUUGUAGUAGCAUACUGAGAACUCUUUGUCACACAAUUUAAUGAGUAGUACAACUCAAUCUGGCAAACAGGAAGUAUAUCCAUGAGCAGUGCUGUUAAUCUAAAUAUGAUUAAUUAAUUAGCCCUUGCUCUAUUGAUUGAUGAAUUCUAUUUUGGUAGAGCAGUUUAGGUGCUGCAUAACGAGUAUCUGAAACUUAAAGAUAGAAGUAUUGUGCAUGCAUAUUUCUAGUUACUUGUGGCCUUUUUUAAACUUGACAGAUGGAUUCCUAUGUCAGUUACUUGUGGCUUUUCGACUAAGGCUUUUACAUAGUUUUCAGGAGCAAUUAUCCUCUAUGAGGACUGAUAAUGGUUGGUCUCAUCCCUUGCCGAUGUGUGCCACGCUAAGACAAAUCUGUUAUGCGAGGUUUAGAUGGAUGAUUCUUUUACCAAGUGUAGAUGGAUGUAUUUUAAAUCAUAUUUUCAUCUGUUAUUGCCAUAUAUGCUGUCCUAUUAUUCGAUCUUGUGGACUAGAUCUUGCUGCCCUAUGAUAAACUGUUGAUAAUUGGGCAGAAUUUUGAUUGUCCUAACCAUUCUUAUUCAUUCCUCUUUUUGCUAUGAUUUGGUCUUCUAUUAUUGAUUUGAUUGCAGAUGUCUAGGAGAUCACACCAGCGAGGGGUUUCCCAAGUGACUGGCUUGUAUAUGUGCCUGCAAUAUAUAUUGUCGACGUGUGUAGUUUUUGAGCUGGCUUCCAAAUUUGUGAUGCUAUUUAACUUGGCAUCUAUAUGCUGGUAGUGAUGCAAUGUACAAUCUGUGUGAUGUUAAACUUUGGGAUGCAAGUGCCGAGUGAACUAAGAACAGUUUUUGCUGUAAAGAAGUCUUAAAAAUGAGGGACGGGAGGCUAACACAUUUGCAUUUGUUGGUGGGAGUAUGGAUAUAUGGAUGAAUCUGCUAUAGAUUAUCUAGCAUAUUUGAUUAUUGGGUACUGAAA